CUACCCUUGACAUGUACGGAAUCCUGCUGAGAGGUGGGAGUGCUCGAAAGAGAACCGUAACACAGGUGCUGCAUGGCUGUCGUCAGCUCGUGUCGUGAGAUGUUGGGUUAAGUCCCGCAACGAGCGCAACCCUUGUCCUUAGUUGCUACGCAAGAGCACUCUAGGGAGACUGCCGGUGACAAACCGGAGGAAGGUGGGGAUGACGUCAAGUCCUCAUGGCCCUUAUGGGUAGGGCUUCACACGUCAUACAAUGGUCGGUACAGAGGGCUGCCAAACCGCGAGGUGGAACUAACCCCAGAAAACCGAUCGUAGUCCGGAUCGCAGUCUGCAACUCGACUGCGUGAAGCUGGAAUCGCUAGUAAUCGCGGAUCAGCAUGUCGCGGUGAAUACGUUCCC
rnacentral:rRNA from 1 species